GUUAGUUUAUAUUUGUAGGGAAUGGGAUCGUCUGCCUACGUUUGCCGCUAGGGGCGCUGUUCCAACUGCAUACAAAAUAGGGCUA
rnacentral:pre_miRNA from 1 species